rnacentral:lncRNA from 1 species
CUUAAUCUCGCUACCUCCCCCUCCUCUCUUCUCUCUUCUCCCUCUCUCUCCUCUUUUCUCUACCGCUGUCUCUGAGACUUCUUCUUCCCUUUUUCCUAAAGAAGUUGAUCCAGAAAUUCGAAAAGCCCUGGGCAGAGUUGUUGAAUGGGAUGUGCAAUUAGAGAGGGGAUUUUGUUGGGAGGCAAGAGGGUCCCCCAGGCUCCACAUAGUCCAGGUCGGCAGGCAAGGAAAGACGGCUGACCAGCCCAGCGGGCGCGGUUUGCACAUGGUUUGCACGUCGGGCCGCCUCUUUCUGCCUAUAAUUCAGCUGCCUCUCUGAGGAGUGGUGGAGGAGCUGCGGGAGCCGAGAAGCCCAAGAGCCCUCUGGACCCAGAAAAGUCCUACAGAUGCCCACUCCUCACCACACAACAGAAGGAGCUCUGGUCCUGCCUGCCAGCCCCAGAGGGCACUCAAACUUUGGAGGCCAGCCACCCGGAUGAAGUGAAUAAGGCCUGAAAAUUGCUUGUUUGCUCGUAUUGUAAAAUAAUAAUAAUUACCAUUAUUAUUUUUA